rnacentral:sRNA from 1 species
ACUUGUUAACCAGCACGGGCGUUGAGGUAACACUCUACGCCCGUUUGUGCGUGUUAGGGGUAAACAAUACGAU